AAAAAAAAAAAAAAAAAAGGCUUUAUCUGAAUACACCCAGGGAAUGUCUAGUUACCUUAAAAAAUACCUGGUUAUAAUGAGAAGUGACGGCAUUAGCAUCAUUAGCAUUUCCAAAUGCUGGAGGCAUUGACAGAAAAUGAGAAUACCCAUCAAUAUCAUGCACUGGGGUUUGGACUGUCUGACACAUGCUCUGCUGGCUCACUUGUUGUAGGACUUCAUUUAGCAUAACAACCUCUGAAUCAUACCUACAAUGCCAGCUCAGUAUUUCCACUUGGAAUAAAGGAACCCAAAGUGAAGGGAUCUAUUGGAAAUCUUUAACAUUUGGGGGUUUGUGGGUUGUUUAUUUUUCUUCAUGGAAAAGCAGCAGUUUUAGUUCAGAUAGCUUAAAGCACAUUGAUUUGUCCUGGAGGCAUCCUUUCUGUCUUGGGGAAAGCAUAGCCAAAUAGGGAUUCUUAUGUCAAGGCAUGUGAUUUAUUUAUAUACUGGAGCACAGAGUUUAAUGCUUGAAUUCCCAUUAAGAACUUAGGAUCAAUGGGUGAAAGGGGCAAGUACUUUCAAGCUACCCAUACCAUUGUAGAUAAGAUUUUGGCAUUUUUAAAAGUUGAGAAAACGUACUGAAAAAUUGUCAGAGGAGUUUGAAAGUUAUUAAAAGCAUCAUUAAGAUAUUUAUUUUCUUCAUGUGUAUUAUACUGUAUUAAGCUCAAAUGGCAGAAGAAUAGUUAAUAUUGUGGGGAAAUGUUCAUGCUAUUUUGUUGAGUAAAUAGCACGUAUUAAAGCAUAUUAGAAAGGAAUGUGUACUGUGUUAAUCUAAUUUGGUUAAAAAGAAAAGAAAUGUAUAUGAUAAAUGCACUGGAAAAAAUGAAAAACUAUACAUCAAAACUUUGGUAGAUGUUUUCUCUGUGCCUCAGUUUAAAAGUUUAAAAGUGAGGAUGAUGGGAGUUCCCAUUGUGGCGCAGUGGAAACGAAUCUGACUAGGAACCAUGAGGUUGUGGGUUUGAUCCCUGGCCUCGCUCAGUGGGUUAAGGAUCUGGUAUUGCCGUGAGCUGUGGUGUAGGUUGCAGAUGUGGCUGGGAUCUGAUGCUGCUGUGGCUGUGGUGUAGGCCGGCAGGUGCAGCUCCAAUCAGACCCCUAGCUUGGGAACCUCCGUAUGCUGCAGGUGUGGCCCUAAAAAGCAAUAAACAAAUAAAUAAAAUUAUCUAAUGUUUAGAAUAGUGCCUCCUUAUAAAUGAUAGCUAUUAUUAUCUUUAUCUCUGUGAAUAGUGUUUUUAUAGAUUACUGUUCUAUAGACUUUCUUUUGUUUCCUUACUUUAUUUUCCUAAUUUUCUAUAAUAUACAUAUUAUUUUUAUGAUUAAGUUAUUUAAAAAUAUAUUAUCUACUUCUAAGAUUUUUUUUUUAGUUCCUAGAUGCUGUCAUCCAAACAUCAGAGGAGUAGAUAAGAGCUUGUCAUUCCCCUUUGCUGCACAAACUCAUAUUGUAAUUCAUCAAUUAUCUGAGGAUUGUCUUCUCUGAGAAGCUAUAAGCUUCACUGAGUAAGGCCCUGUCGGUCUUGGUGAUUUUAGUUUCCUUUUUUGUCUAGUGCUUUUCCAGUUCCUAGUCUAUGCUCAGUAAACGUUUGUUGAAUGAAUCAAAGUUAAGGGUAUGUUCAAAGCAAUUCAUAAUCACUUAGUGCUUUAUGGUUUAGUUUUAUGUGUUAUGUCGUUUAAUGAUAAUAUUCACACAUACAUAUAUUUUUUGGGGGGCGGGGCACAUCCAAGGCAAGCAGAAGUUCCCAAACCAGGGAUCCAAGUAUGCCACAGCUGUAACCAGAGCCACAGAAGUGACAAAGCUGGAUCCUUACCCCACCGAGCCACGAGAGAACUCUAAUUUUAUAUUUAUUUGCUUAUCCUUUAUAUUACCUCCUAUUUAUAAAAUACAAUUAAGAAAAUAUUUUUUUCCAUUAAUUUCUUACAUUCUCUCUCUUUGAGGGGAGAGGGUGUUUAAACUCACAGUAACCCAAGUAUUAGCAAUAAGACAGUUUUACUUGCCCGACAUAUGAAUAAUUAAACUUCGUAACCAUUUUUGCAGCUUUUUAUCUUUCUUUUCUUUCUCUAGACCUGUGAAGGGGGAUGGCAGAGUCUAAGUCUUGUAAUGAACCCCUAACUCUGAGAUUAGAUGUCAGCAGAAAGUUGGGAUUUAGCAGGUGGCUAAUUCUUCUUAUCCUAGGUCAUAGAUGCUGAUUCGCAAAUGUGCAGCUUCAAAGGAAAGGGUUUUCUCUGUGACAACUCUCUCCUAAUAAACUCAAAGGCCUUCCCCUCGUUCUCCCCUCCCUCCAUCCUUCCCUUCCCCUUGCAAAUGCAGGCAGGUUCAAUUAACAGUUAACUGCAAUGGUGGAACAACUGCUGGAAAAAAUUAGAGAUGUUGGGGCAGAACCAGAUUCCUGUUGUUCUCCUUUCUGUUUAUUUUCACUUGUGGCUCUUGUGUCCUGGUGGGAGGGUCCUUGACUGGAGGUUAUAUGAUUAGGAUUCUGGUCCUGGAUUUGAUUCCUCUAGGAUUCUGUCUCCUCAUCGUCACAGUAAUGGCAUUAGGCAUCUAAAGACGCUUUCAGCUCUGUUGAAUUGUUCUAAUUUUAUUGUCUGUGUGUGUUUGUGUGUGUACACGAUAAUGUCAACAUUAAUGAAAUUUCACAAAAUAAUUGUAAAAUGCAGCCUGUAAUGAUUUUUUAUUAUCUCCUCUACCUUGUUUUGCUAUAAACAUUCAGGGGAUGGACUAGGGGUGGUGUAAAGAGAAGAUGGCUCUGAGUGAGCAUAAUUUAAUUUGUUUUCUGGCAUUCUUGGGUCACAUUUUUUAAUUAGGAAAGAAGAGUUGGCAUUCAGUAACAAGCUUUAUGGUUUCAAACCUAAUUUGUGGGUCCGAUGUAAUUUAGAUGACUUCAGACUAUUUACGUGAAAUGGGAAUGGGUAUUGGCAGCCCUUUGUUAGAGAAGCCUGAGGUAUGGUUUUCAGUCCCUCAAACUAAUAUGUAUAUUUAGCAAGGACCAGAGAACUCAUGGAAGAGGGUUAUCUACAGAGAAAUCAGCCAUUAAACCCUCUUCCUCUUCCGGACAAGCCCUUCACUUAAUUGUUCUGGGAGGGCUGGAGCUUGGGCUUGCUUCUCUUUGUUAUGGCCUGUUUCCUCAUUGACAAGAAAUAAUAUAUUGUAUUAGCUGCCUUGUUGAUUUGUCUACCAUGAUCUCACCCACAGGCUACUGUACAAGUAUUUACAUUUCUCAUUAAUAAACUGAGGAAGUGAUUUUUGCAGUGGAUAGACCUGCCAAACAGUAUUUUCUUUAACUUGGGUGAAUCAAAUCCUCCAUUCAUUUGGAAUUUUUCAAACAUGCAAACAUUCUAUCCUAUCUUUGUGAUAGGAUAGUGGGAAUUUAUUAUUAAUAAUGGUAUAUUUAAUGAGUGCUACAGCAAUAAAAGGCAUCCUUAACUUUGAGAGCCUACGGCCUUAUAAAUUCUAAUUUUCUCUUGUCUAUCUCUUCCCUCAUUGACGGUGACUUCUGAAGGGGUAAGGUCCCUGAGGUUUGAUGAGCAGGAUAGUUGCUUGCACAUGAGAAUUGAGAAGUGAUUCCAAGGUUAAGGUGUAAUGUAGAAAAAGAGACGAAAAGACUAGCAUGUCUUCAGCAAAAAGAGCUGAGGUAGGAAGCACAGAAUGAAAAAUAUGACUCGUAGAGGACAUUAGAGGGAAAGAGAGGUACCAGCCAUCAGUGGACUGGUGAGAAUGACAGCUCACCUUUCAGGAAGAGUAGGAUUUAGUGCAGGUGACUCUCCCUCUCAGGGCUGAUGACCUUUUAGGGAAAGGUAGCUUACUGAAAAAGGCAAUGCUGUAGUGAAAGCUAACAUUCUUAGACCAAGGGUGUGAUAGCCAGGGUUUUAUGCAAGUGAUUAAUCCACUGUGUACCAGUCAAAAUGUGCUAGCUUAUAUACAUACUGAAUAAAAAAUAACAACCAAACUUAGGGAUGCAUAACUACAAAGUUGGAUCUCUCGCUCAUAUCCCAUGUGCAUCUUGGGUGGGUGGGGCCUCUGUUCCACAGUGCCCUCCUUCGAGGCACAGGCUGGCAGAGCUUGGACCAUCUGGAAUAGCGCCAUCUGCCAAGGCACUGGGGAGCAACGGGUGAAGUGGGAACUGACUGCGAAAGGCUUCUCCUUGGGAGAGAGGAAGUUACUUCUAGGCACACUUCAUUGGCCACGGCAUAUGCAGGAAAAGGGCAGUCCCACCUUGUGGCCAGGAAAGGAGAAACAGAAAUAUUGGUGAAUGGCACCAAUCUCAACCAAAUGGAGCUAAAUAUUUUCAGUUACUAUUUGGUAUCAGGAUUUUAAAAGUAAUACCUUAGUUAAGGAAAAAUGGACAUAGGGACUAAUCACAAAAAUUAUUUAAUAAAUCCCUGGCUCAGGGCUGCUAUUUCUUUUUCUUUCCUUCUUUUUUUUUUCAUUUUAGGGCCCCACCCAUGUCAUAUGUAGGGUCCCUGGCUAGGGAUCAAAUCCAAGCUGUAGCCGCUGGCCUACACCAAUGCCAGAUCCAAGCCAUGCCUGCGACCUACACAUACCACAGCUCACGGCAACGCUGGAUCCUUAACCCACUGAGCAAGGCCAGGGAUCAAGCCUGUGUCCUCAUGAAUACUAGUUGGGUUUGUUACCGCUGAGCCACAAUGGGAACUCCAGGGCUGCUCUUUCUUAGCUGUAACCACACAGCAGUUACUCUGAGACCUGUACCUGGGAAUGCAUCCAUGAAAGCAGUGUGAGCAGCCCCAAUUUAAGAAACUGAAGUUUUCUUUUCUGAAAGUAUCCAUUAAUUGCAUAUCAUCAUUAAGGAAAAGUUCAUUCCCUCUGUAAAGAGAUAAAAUGAUUUAACAUGAGCACAUGAGCAGACACGGGACCACACUCCCACCUCACCUUCCGUCCGUAUCAAGAAUUCAGUUCAACAGACUCUGGUUUGAGAAAUACAAGGUAAUGUCAUAUAUUUUUAGUAAGUGAUGGUGAUGUUGUAAUGCCGUGUUAUAGAUGAGGAACCAGGCUCUGAGAGGUCAAGUCACAUUUCCGAAUAGCACAGGCUUUGCCUCUCUGGCCUCCAAGUGCGUGUGCUCACCUGCAUCCUCUUGCUAGUUUGCAGCAAGCCUGGAACCGAGCAUACUGAGGGCUGGGGCUGUGGGGUCACGAGACAGAUGCAGCUGGACCACCCACCCUCGACUGGACACCCCUGCACUAAUAAUCUUUCAAAGAAGUGUGUUUAUUUUGUUUGUUUGGGUUUUUUUGUUUUUUUUCUAGGGCCAUACCUGCGGCACAUGGAGGUACCCAGGCUAGGGGUCUAAUCGGAGCUAUAGCUGCGACCUACACCACAAUUCACGGCAAUGCCGGAUCCUUAACCCACUGAGUGAGGCCGGGGAUUGAGCCCGAAACCUCAUGGUUCCUAUUCGGGUUCAUUAACCACUGAGCCAUGACGGGAACGCCAGAAGUGUUUUUAAAUUAGCAAUUUUCGUGGCUUUUGCUACAGAAGCCCACUUAUUAUUGUUGUUUUUUUCCUGGGCCUUGGAGAGGGCCUUUUCCUGAGGCUGGGAGCCAGGGAUGUCCCAGAAGAUGAAGACCAGAGCCCUUCCCAGAAAAGCACCCUUGCCCAGCAGAGUCCGCCUCCUGAUGCCUGGAUGUGGUGGGGUGGGGUUUGGAGUGGGGGCGUGGGGGAUGCGGGGGCUUUUAGGAGCCAGAGAGCUGGGGAGAUGUGCAGGCUGAGUGAUGCGUCCUAAGUGCCGUGGAAGUCAGAACAGGGGUGUGACAGGGGCUGUGAGGAUUCUUGUAAAUUGAAGACUGCCUGUAAUUUGAUGAAGGCACCCACAGCUAAUGGACUUUUAAAGGAGCGCUGAAAGCAAAUCAAGUGAGGAAGAUGGCAUGUGGGGAGAAUUAAAAGGCAAAUAGGGUGAAAUUGUCAGUCAACCAGAUGCAGCCAUUAUUCACCAUUUCUAACUUAGAAACAAGUGAGGUCUAGAUCAUGUAUAAACCAGGAACACUCUGACAUUAACUAAUUUGGGGAUUUGCAACAG
rnacentral:lncRNA from 1 species